GCUGGAUGUGGGAUGGGGAGGGAGGGGGAAUGGGGAGGGAGGGGGAAGGCCUCGUCAUACAAAUCGUGAGGGCGGAAGGCGGGAGAUUUCAUCUGGGAGUGGGGGAGUGGACCCUGUGGGCACUUUUGGAAUGUUCUGCAUGUGGGUGUAGGGUGUAGUUGUUUCCGAGAGGUUCAUACCCCUGGAUCCAAUGUGGGUCCCCUAGCCCUGCUCACUGUCCUUUCACUGGUCACUCAUCUUCCAUCCAUUCAAGGGGCUGUAGGGUGGCACAGGUCUGAGACAAGGAGAGCACCCUAAAAAAGAAAAAUCUUCCACUGGAUUCUAGAAAGGCUGCUGGGCUCUGAUGGAUAAAAUGUCUUUACAGCCACCAGGGGCCUCGGGGAGCCGGCUCUUGUGUCUUAGAGGUUGUGAUGACGAACCCUGAGAAGUGAGGCUGUGACUCCCAUGGGUGAGGAGUCGUGUGAAGAGGACGGAGCGAAGGCACCCGCUUGCUCCCGCCUGUGUCUCUUCACGCUGCUUUGUUCUUAUCACGUCAGAGAACCUGAGAGAGCUUCGUAGCUCCUCGGUUCCAAUCCCAAGAAGUUCUAUAACCCUGUUUUUCUUUGUUCCCUUCCCUGAAAGAUAGAAGCACCAGCUCUGGCAUCUCAGGGUGCUGCGAAGGUCAAGGCAGGCGUGUAGCAUCCUUAAAGUCUGCAAGAGAGAGAAUCAGAAGAUGGGCUGAUUUGUUCUGAUGAUGACCCUCAGUCUGUGGGGGUGUCCUGAUGUGAACAGAGCAGCGACAUGUUUGCUGGAAAGUACAUGGGGCUUGGAAUCAGGAGAUUCUUUCCCAGCUCCACGACCUUGAAAAAAAAAUCACUGGAGGUCAGAGCUGGAAGAAAUGGUUAUUUAUCACACUGUCAGCCACCAGAUUUGAUGAAAACAGAAAUGGAGGCCCAGAGAGGCCAGGGGAUUUGCCUGAGAGCACAAAGCUGAGAACAGAAGCUGGUGGAGGGCAGUGGGUGAAGAGCAGCGAGGGGAGGGGGCCAGGUGAGACCCCUUGGGCCAAGUAGUCAGUCUGCCUUAGCAGCGCCAGCCAAGGCCGGCGGCUGGGACGGGGCUGCAUGAGAGGGCCCCCCACAGCUCUCUCUGGUGGGUCGGGGGUCCCAGCUGUGGACAAGGGCUAACGGCACAGGUACAGGGAUGUGGGGUGAUGGGAAGAAGGGGCCCUGGGGAUGCAGAUGGGAGGGGAGGCAGGAGCCCUGUGGGUUAGCAUGCCUUCAGGAGACUUCCUAAGAAGUUUCUGCUGCUGCUUCUUGAAGUCCAGCUGGUCUUAGUGGGCGCUGGCCCAGGAGAGCAUGGCUGGGCAGGAGCCUCCCCGAGGAUGCAGAGUCCCAGUGUGCACCCAUGGAGGUGGGCACAUGGCCCUAGGGUUCCAAGACACUUCAGGGGACAAGUGGUGGCUUCCGAGGACCAGGAUCUGGUACAGAGGGGCCCAAGGAGCCCACCCGGACGUCUCUGGGCGUCAGUGCCCCUUUGUUGGGUUUUUGCCAUCCCUGCCUGCCCCACCCUGUGACCAGGCUGCCUGGCCCCAGACAGGCGGCAGGCGGUCCAGGGGCACAGAGGGGCUGGGAGGCGGGGCAGCGCUCGAGGCAGCAACCCACAACCACACUCAGCCUCCUCGUCAGUGACCAGUGGGCCGCUGGAAGACGCAGAGGAGGGCGAAGGCGCGGGAGGGGCUGGGAGGGCGGAGGAGCAGCGGGCUGCUGAGUGUUUUCCUGCCAUGGGAGCUGCUGUGACCACGAGGAGGAGGAUGUGGCCCGAGCCCAGGAGGGGCUGGCUGAGGAGGAAAAUCACUUCUCCAGAUUAGCUGGCCCAGGCCGAGCCUUCCUCCCCCACCCCGGCCCCGGCCCUCCGCGCAGCAGCCACAGGAAAUGGGGCUGGGGCCCAGCACGCCCAGAGGUCCCCACCUUCAGAGCACUCAGGCUCCAGGCCCAGGCACUCCGGCCCGGCUCGGAGCCCCGGCGUCCAAGUCCCCCAGGAGCGGAAGCCGUCUUGCUCCAAAGUCAACCAUUUCCAAGGAGGGCAGGGACUGCAAAGCUUUCAUGUGCUUGUCAGAUCUCAUGCCUGGAGCUGGGGCCUAGAAAACUGGUCACUUUAUUUGCAUAGUCAGUCCACGCCCCAGCCCCCUCCCACCUGGCCACUGGUCCGAGGGCACAGAGUGCAGAGGGAGGUGGGCUUCGGAGGCCCCAUCCCAGGCUGGCACAGAGGGAAGGGCAGGGGCUGGCCCACUGGAGACCCAGCUCCCACCCUACUCUGCCCUAAUAGGCUGUGUGGCCCCCGUGAGUCCUGACCCUCUCUAAGUUUCGGCCGCAGCCUGCAACUGGAAGGGUGAGCCACAUAGGAGCUAAGGGCCUCCCAGCAUUCAUGAUUGGUGACUCAGGUCAUGGACUCAGGGCACUUCUAGGAGCAUCAGGGACUGUGGCCAUCCCUAAAAUAAGGACUGAGUUCCAGAGAAGGUAGAGGGGCUGCUCAGAGACACAUUCACAGACACAAGCCCCACCAGGACUGCAGGCCACUGACACUCAGGUGAGCCUCCCGCCACAACAGCAUGGCCCUGCACGGGCCCACUGCCCCGGGCAUUCCACCCCCAAGCCGUGGGUGCCACCUCUUUCCCACAGCCCAGACCUGCUUCUUGACUCGCUGUAAAGGCACCCCCUCCACCCUCACUGGGGAGCUGGCUCUUGGUAAGAAGCGUGCACAAAGGGAGUAUUUAACACCCAGCACAGAGAAGCACGUGCUCACCUGGGAGAAAACAUUUGCCUGGGUGUGGACAGGUCCCCGAAUGUGCUCAGGUAGUGUGCACGCUCCCAUAGAGGAGCAGGCAGCUCCUCUCCCUGUCACAGUGGGGGCGCGUUGCUGUUGACAGAAUGCUUUCGCAUUUGAUAUUUCAUGUGAUCCUUGCAGCAAUCCCGAUGGAGGUAUAAUUAUGCCCUUUCAUGGUGGCGAGGCUGAUGUUCAGGUGGGGCAAAGGGGCAGUGUAAGGUCACAUCUCUGGGAGGCAGAGACGAGGACCCCGCCCAUGGAGCAGAGGCAAGCUUGCUCUCCCCUGGUUCC
ensembl:lncRNA